UGGAGAGUUUGAUCCUGGCUCAGGACGAACGCUGGCGGCGUGCUUAACACAUGCAAGUCGAACGGAAAGGCCCUUUCGGGGGUACUCGAGUGGCGAACGGGUGAGUAACACGUGGGUGAUCUGCCCUGCACUUUGGGAUAAGCCUGGGAAACUGGGUCUAAUACCGAAUAUUUCCUGCUGGCCGCAUGGUCUGGUGGGGGAAAGCUUUUGCGGUGUGGGAUGAGCCCGCGGCCUAUCAGCUUGUUGGUGGGGUGAUGGCCUACCAAGGCGACGACGGGUAGCCGGCCUGAGAGGGUGUCCGGCCACACUGGGACUGAGAUACGGCCCAGACUCCUACGGGAGGCAGCAGUGGGGAAUAUUGCACAAUGGGCGCAAGCCUGAUGCAGCGACGCCGCGUGGGGGAUGACGGCCUUCGGGUUGUAAACCUCUUUCAGUACCGACGAAGCGCAAGUGACGGUAGGUACAGAAGAAGCACCGGCCAACUACGUGCCAGCAGCCGCGGUA
rnacentral:rRNA from 1 species